rnacentral:lncRNA from 1 species
GGUGGCUUCUCUCCCUUAGGUGGUUUGCCAACUGGGGUUGGUGGCUUGUGUUCUGGGAGUGGCUUCUCCCCCUUGGGAGGUUUUUCCAAUGGGGUUGGUUUGUGUUCAGGAGGUGGCUUCUCCACUGGAGGCUUGUGUUCAGGAGGUGGCUUCUCCACCGGUGGCUUGUGUUCAGGAGGUGGCUUCUCCACCGGAGGCUUAUGCUCUGGUGGUGGCUUCUCCACCGGAGGCUUAUGCUCUGGUGGUGGCUUCUUGAAUGGGGGAUGCUGAGGGUAAUCAGCAAGUGAGGGGGCGGUGAGAACCACCAGGCCAAGCAACACCACUAGCAAAUAUGUAGGAGACAUCUUUGGGUUUGGGCUCAGAUGGUGCAAAACUAGGAGAAUUGGCUAGCCUUUUAUAGCGGAUCGUACUCAAUAAUGAAAUGACACGUGUCAUUAUGACCCAUGUGUAAUGGGGUCGAUUUGGGUCCUACAGUGUUGAAAACUUCGACAUCCAGUUUUGGCCUUUUGCUUUCUCUACAGCCGCCUUGCUUUUUCCCUCUUUCCUUUUGUUUUCCUCCUGCCCCAUUCUAUCAACUAAACACAAUUAUGUAGUUGUUUAAUUCUUAAAUGAGAUAUUAUCGGUCAAUCGUAUUAUAUUUUAUCAAGAGAGAACGGAGUGCAAUGCAGCUGUAAUUUUAUCGUUUACUUUUAUCUCUUGGACCACUGCAUUUUUGUUAAGAGGUGCAAUAAUACACGUCUUUAUCUGCCAUUCAAUGUUUACAGUAAAGAGAGGGCACAAAACUCUUCACUGCUCUGCAUGUGUCCCAAAAAUGCGAUUGGACAAAUUAUGAUUUGCAUGCUAAAAAGAGGCAAAUGAGGUUAAUUCGCACCAUAAUUAUUUGGUUUUCUGGACACCAUAAAAAGAUGUUAUACAGGCAGGGAAAAACCUUCAGAGUUAGCUACCAAAGAUAAUUAUCAAGCAGAUAUCACCAAGAGAAUUCCAUAGAGUCUGAAUCAAAGACAGAUUGCUCGCUCGUGGGGGUUCUUACUUUCUUUUGGGUAUAACUCACUGAGGUCACUGUCUUUUUUAUUUGCAUUUCACAGUUAGAGUUCUGCUCUGGAAGGUUUGUUCUGGAAACAUAUAAAAGGAGCAUCAUUUUGUUCUUGGGUAACCCAUAGUCGUGAGUGGGUCCAUUUGCAUGCUACUUAGUUGAAAAGUUGGACAAUUUGCUCCGACGCCUACCUCCUGGAUUCCAUGCUCGGUAAAACAAGAAUAAAAAAAAAUAUAUAAUUUACAAAUGGGGGAAAGAAAAAAUGUCGGAAAAAAUAGUAAAAUUCAUGUCACAUGCUAGUGAGAGAAGGGGUUGUUACACUCACUCGAAGUUCUUUUCAAAAUAUCGAAUGGUAUUUUACUUUAUGUGUCAGCGCAGUUGUGAAUGGAACGUGCAAAAGUCCAAAUUGGCGUUUUUAUUUUUCCCAUGUAGGAUGGUGACCUUUAAUAAAUAUUUAAAACAAAAGACGAAAAAAAAAAGGAGGGAAAAGGGAUCACAAAAGAUAAAAUAAUGUUUACAAAAGCUCAAUUAGUUUGCAAAUUACUGUUUGGAUUUUGAUAGUAUUUUAUUUGUCGUUCUAUAUUUGAUGUAAAAGAGAAUUUAAGAUAUUUCCGAAGCAAAAGCAUUAGUUUGCUCUGUGAUGUCCCACAUCGAAUAGGGGAGAAAGUUUCUGGCGCUAUAUAUGUAGAGGCUCCUCUUAACCAAGUAGAUGCGUUUUAAAACCAUGAGGGCCCCCUUAGGUCCAAAGCGGACAAUAUCUACAUGAUUGGGUGUAAGUCAUUACAAAUGGUAUCAGAGCCGAUCCCCGACCCCGGUGUGGGGGUUUGUUUGGCCCUGUAAGGGGUGUUUGUCUGUUUGACCCCACAAUCCCAUGGGACACAACGAGGACGUUGUGUCUGCAUGGGGGGGCGUUUGUGAUGUCCCACAUCGGAUAGGGGAGAAAGUUCCUAGUGCUAUAUAUGUAGAUGUUUCUCUUAACCAAGUAGAUGCAUUUUAAAAUUGUGAGGGCCUCUUUGGGCCCAAAGCGGACAAUAUCUACAUGGUUGAGUGUAAGUCAUUACAUGCUCCAUGUCAAUUUCAGCAUUUCUCAUAUGUUUCACACAUACACAGAAGAGCAUCGUUUUUUAAAGCAUGCAUUUAUGUUGGAUUAAUUUGGAUUUUGUGGGAACUGGGGCAAGGAUCACAUGGAAGAGAGGUUGACUUUUUUCAGUACUUCAAUGGUUGAAAUAUGUGAAGGCUUGAUUGAUACUAAAGCUUGAAAUUGCGACUCUGUCAUUUGUAAAAAAAUAUGACAGCUUCCAUGCUCUCGUUUGGUUGCAUUGUCCGGUCGAGAGGUGCAAAAAGCAUUCUCUCUCUUCUAAUAGUCUUUUCGUUUAAAUCAAGGGAUUUGCCUUCCCGGUCGAGGUCCAAUAGAGGGUAACGGUCACCUACUAAACAUUAAAUGCUCCAACAACUAGUGAACUGAUCGACCCCAGCUCGACUAGUUGAGGUUACUUUUUGGUUUUCUUGUCUCCCGAGGUUAGAAACCUAUAAAUAGAGAGCUUCACUUCAUUUAUGAGUAAGAGAACACCUAAAUUUAUUUGUUUACCUACUUGUUUUUGCCAUAAAAGCUCUCAUUUCUUUUCUUGGUGUAUUAAAUCUCCAUUUGCAUAUCCUUUAGUGCACCUUUGUGAUUCAUUCUAGCCUUGAGUUGUAUUUAAGCCUUUGUUGAGCUAGGUUGAGAGUUUCAUACUUGUUUAUUGAGUGUUAAAGCCUUCAAGUGAGUUAAAACUUGAAGAGAUUGUGUAAGAGCCCAUUGGAGUCGGAAUCCAAGUGUAAAGGUGAUUAAAAGCUUGGUUGAAGCUUCAAGUUAGUGGAACUCUCACUCGGUUAUGAGCUUGAGAAGAGUGGACAUAGACAAGGCAGUGUCGAACCACUAUAAAAUCUGAGUUUGAUUUCUCUAACCUUAUCUCUUUAUAUUUGCUUCUCUUGUGCUUAAAUUUUUUGUGUUUAAAAAGAAUUUUUAAAAACUCAAUUCACCCCCUUCUUGGGAGUUUUUCUCUUUUAAGAUCAGCUUUUAUUUUCUCAAUUGGUAUCAGAACUAUGCCUCUUGUUUAAGACUUAAUCGUCUAAGAGGAAAUGGCUAAUCCAUCAAGUUCAUCUCACAUUGAAAGUUUUGCAACCAAUAGACUUCUUUUUUUUUUUUUGCGGGAACUGAUUAUCCCUAUUGGAAAACUAAAAUGACUUGGUUUUUACAAUCAAUUGAUUUAGAUGUAUGAGAUGCCAUUGAAGAUGACCUAACUUUUCCUUCAAAACUAGUUGAUGGAGUCAUGGUUCCAAAACCUAAGCAAGAAUGGGAUGAGCGUGAUUGAAGAAAUUUUCAAUUAAAUGCUAAAGUCGUUUAUACUUUGCAAUGCUCUAUGGACAGAAAUGAAUAUAAUAGAAUAUGUCAAUGCAAAUCGGUUAAAGAAAUUUGGAGAUUGCUUGAAAUAACUCAUAAAGGAACAAAUCAAGUUAAAGAGUCAAAAAUCAAUUUACUUGUUCAUAGAUAUGAAUUGUUUUUUAUGAAAGAUAAUGAAACUAUUGUUAAGAUGAUCACUAGGUUCACCAACAUUGUUAAUGGUCUUAAAGCCUUGGGAAAGACCUACAAGGAAUCCGAAAACGUGAUGAAGAUCUUGAGGUCACUUCCAUCAAAGUGGCAUACCAAGGUCACCGCAAUUUAAGAAGCAAAAGACUUGAUCAAGCUACCUUUGGAGGAGUUCAUAGGGUCAUUGAUGACAUAUGAAAUCAAUUUGGCAAAGAAGUAACAAAAAGGUGAAGACAAAAAGAAGAAGAACAUAACUCUCAAAGCUACAACUAAGGAAGAAGAAGUUGAAGAAGAAAAACAAAUUGAAGAAGAUGAAGAUUUAGCCCUCAUCACAAGAAAGUUCAACAAAUUCAUGAGGGGUGAAAGGUUUAGAAGAAGAAGGUUCACUUCUAGAAGAGACUUUUCUAAAAAGGAAUCUUCAUCUAAUGGUGACAAAAAGAGAUGGGAAGAGAAAAGAGACUUGGUGUGUUUCAAGUGCAAGAAACCGGGACACAUUAAAUAUGAUUGUCCUCUCUACAAAAGUGAAGUCAAGAGGAAAAAGAAUAAGGCAAUGAUGGCCACUUAGAGUGAAAGUGAAGAUGAAUCAUCCGAAGAAGAAAAUGAGAAAGAAGUGGCAAACAUGUGUUUCAUGGCAAUAGAUGAACUUGAUGAGGUAAAAUCUAACCUUAGUGAUUAAGAUAUACAUGAUGCAUUUGAAGAAUUGUAUGAGGAUUUUUAAAAACUUAGUUUGAAAAAUAUUUCUCUUAAAAAGAAAGUUCAACAACUUGACAAAGAACUUAGAGAAGUAAAAGAAAAAUUUUCAAAUGUUAAAGUUUCUAAAACUCAUCUUGAAAAAGAAAAUGAGAUUCUAAGAAAGAAAAAUGAAUAGUUGAACUCCUCUCUUUCAAUCUUUUCUUCUAGACAAAAAUCUUUUGAAAUGAUUCUAACUAGCUAAAAAUGUGUUUUUGACAAACAAGGGUUAAGAUUUAAAUCUUCAAAAAAUCAAAAGUAUUUUAAAAACUAUUUUGUAAAGGAAUCCACAAGUGCAAGUCCUUCCACUACUUGCAACUUUUGUGGAAGAGAAUGGCACAUUAGUAGUACGCCCUUUAAGAAAUGGUUCUCAAAAGAAUUUAAAUGCAAAAACUAAAAAAGAUUUGGAUUGAGAAAUCCAAGGUCACUAACCCUCAAGGACCCAAAAAGAUAUAGGUACCUAAAUCAACUUGAGUUUUAUGUUGUAAGGUUCAAAGAAUGAUAAGUGGUUCUUAGAUAAUGGUUGCUCAAGACACAUGACCGGAGAUGAAUCCAAGUUUGCUUUUCUUAAAAAGAAAAAUGGAGGAUAUGUUACCUUUGGAGACAAUGCAAAAGAAAGGAUGAUUGGUCAAGGCAACAUUGGUAAUGGCACAUCCUCUCUCAUUGAAAGUGUUUUAUUAGUAGAUGGUUUCAAACAUAACCUUUUAAGCAUUAGUCAAUUUUGCGACAAAGGUUUUUAAGUGAUUUUUUAAGCAUCUCAUUGCAUCAUCAAGGAUAUUCAAAAUGAUAAAACCAUUUUCAUGGGCCAUAGAUGUGAUAAUGUUUAUGCUAUAAAUAUUUCAAAAUAUGAUGGCCAUGAUAGAUGUUUUUCAAGCAUGCAUGAUCAAAGUUGGUUGUGCCAUAGGAGAUUGAGACAUGCUAACAUAGACCUCAUUUCCCAACUCAACAAAGAUGAACUUGUUAGAGGCCUUCCCAAAAUAAUUUUUUAAAAAGAUAAAGUUUGUGAAGCUUGUCAAGUGGGAAAGUAAAUCAAAAACUCUUUUAAAAACAAAAACUUCAUUUCCACAUCUAGGCCACUUGAGUUGUUGCAUAUGGAUUUAUUUGGUCCCUCUAGGACACCAAGUCUUAGAGGAAAUUCUUAUGCAUAUGCUAUUGUGGACGACUUCUCUAGAUACACAUGAGUCUUGUUUUUUAGUCAAAAGAAUAAAGUUUUUUAUGAGUUUUCAAAGUUUUGCAAUAAGAUUCAAAAUGAAAAAGGUUUUUCAAUUACUUAUAUAAGAAGUGAUCAUGGGAGAGAAUUCGAAAAUAUUGAUUUUGAAGAGUAUUGCAAUGAGCAUGGAAUUGACCACAAUUUUUUGGCUCUUAGAACUCCUCAACAAAAUGGGGUAGUUGAAAGGAAAAAUAGAACUCUUCAAAAAAUGACAAGAACCAUACUAAAUGAAAACAACUUACCAAAAUAUUUUUAGGCCAAAACGGUUAACACUUCUUGUUAUGUUUUAAAUAGAGUAUUAUUGAGGCUCAUACUUAAGAAAACUCCCUAUGAGCUUUGGAAAAACAAAAAACCCAACAUUAGUUAUUCCAAAGUCUUUGGAUGCAAUAUUUUAUAAUAAACACCAAAGACAAUCUUGGAAAAUUUGAUGCAAAAUUGGAUGUUGGAAUUUUCCUUGGUUACUCAACUUCAAGUAAAGCUUUUCGAGUUUUAACAAAAGAACCAUGGUUGUAGAGGAGUCCAUCCAUGUUAUUUUUUAUGAAUCUCCAAGAAAGAGAGAGGAUUGAUGAUGAUUUAGGUUUGAAGACCUCUAUAGGAAGAUUGCAAAUCGAAGAUAGAAGACAACAAGAAGAAAAUGGAGAGAAUCCAAAGAAAGAAGGAUCACCAUUGGCACUACCCCCUCAUCAACAAGCGCAAGGUGAAUCAAGUCAAGAGCUUCCUAAAGAAUGGAAGUUUGUCAUCAAUCACCCACAAGAUCAAAUUAUAGGCAAUCCAUCUAGUGGGGUAAGAACUAGAUCCUCUCUUAGAAAUAUUUGCAAUAAUCUAGCUUUUAUCUCUCAAAUUGAGCCUAAAAAUAUAAAUGAUGUUUUAGAUGAUGAAAAUUGGAUAAUUGCAAUGCAAGAAGAGUUAAAUCCAUUUGAAAGAAGUGGAGUAUGGGAAUUAGUACCAAGACCUUCAAAUCAAAGUGUUAUUGGAACUAGAUGGAUCUUUAGAAAUAAAAUGGAUGAAAAUAGCAUAAUUGUUAGAAAUAAAGCAAGAUUGGUAGCCCAAGGUUUUAAUCAAGAAGAAAUGAUAGAUUAUGAAGAAACCUUUGCCCCCGUAGCUAGGUUGGAAGCCAUUAGGAUGCUACUUGCCUUUGCAUGUUUUAAAGACUUUGUUUUAUAUCAAAUGGAUGUGAAAAGUGCUUUUUUAAAUGGUUUUAUAAAUGAAGAAGUAUAUGUUGAACAACCACCCGGUUUUCAAAGUUUCAACUUUCCUAACCAUGUUUUUAAACUUAAAAAGACACUUUAUGGUUUGAAACAAGCACCUAGAUCAUGGUAUGAAAAAUUGAGUAAAUUUCUUUUGAAAAAAAUGUUUUAAAAUGGGAAAAAUUGACACAACUCUUUUUAUAAAAACCAAAGAAAAUGAUAUGCUCUUAGUUCAAAUAUAUAUUGAUGAUAUCAUUUUUGGUGCUACUAAUGUCUCUCUUUAUGAAGAAUUUUCUAAGUGCAUGCAUAGUGAGUUUGAAAUGAGCAUGAUAGGAGAACUCAACUUCUUCCUUGGACUUCAAAUCAAGCAACUAAAGGAAUGAACCUUCAUCAAUCAAGCAAAGUAUAUAAGAGAUCUUCUCAAAAGGUUCAACAUGGAAGAAGCCAAAACAAUGAAGACUCUAAUGAGCUCAUCCAUUAAGCUUGAUAAGGAUGAGAAAGGUAAAUCCAUUGACUCUAUUAUGUAUAGAGGCAUGAUAGGUUCUUUGCUCUAUUUGACCACUAGUAGACCUUACAUUAUGUAUAGUGUGUGUUUGUGUACUAGAUUUCAAUCUUGUCUUAAAAAAUCUCACUUAAGUGUCGUGAAAAGAAUCCUCAAAUAUUUGAAAGGGACAAUGGACAUAGGCUUAUGGUAUCCUAAGAGUGAUAACUUUGAAUUAAUUGGUUUUUUGGAUGCUGAUUUUGUCAGUUGUAGGGUUGAAAAAUAAAACACUAGUGGCACUUUUCAUUUCUUAAGACACUUACUUGUCUCAUGGCAUAAUAAGAAGCAAAAUUUGGUAGCUUUGUCAACAGCAGAAGCUAAAUACAUAGCAACUGGUUUAUGUUGUGCACAAAUCCUUUGGAUGAAAUAAACACUUAGUGAUUUUGAUUUAUCUUUUGAGCAUAUUCCUAUUAAAUGUGAUAAUAGUAGUGCCAUAAGUAUAUCAAAAAAUCUCGUGCAACACUCUAGGACUAAGCAUAUAGAGAUUAGACAUAAUUUUCUUAGAUAUCAUACACAAAAGGAUGAUAUAACACUUGAAUUUGUAAGCAUAAAAGACCAACUUGCCGAUAUCUUUACAAAACCUCUAAGAACAUUUUGUUGAUAUUAGAGGACAAUUAGGAGUGAUUUCUUUAUGAUCUAAUGUGAUGAAUUCUUGAUGAAUAUACUUUUUGAUUGCAUGAAUUUCAUGUCAUAUAUGCAUCAUAUAGAAAUAUACUUAGAUAAUGGUCAAAUUUCGACCAAAAAUCAAAAUUCCCAUGGCAUUAGGCAUAAAAAUUUUGGAAUUUCAACUGAAAAUGGUAGGAGGAGGAUCACAAAAUGAGAAAGUAUGCAAAAAUUGAAAAAUCAAAACGUUGACCAAGCGGUCAAUCGGACUAGACCGAUCGACUAGUUUGUCGAGAUUUAGGAUUUUUAAGAGACUCCAACGCUUCAAUUUUUGCACCGUUCUCCUCUAUUUCUUCACGGUUUCUCUGAUUUUGUCUUUUAGAGACUAAUUUGAGUGCGUUUUGGAUCAAUUGAAGCAUUUUGGAUUGGAUUUUAGGAAGAUUGAAAGUUAAGGUUUCGGAUUUGGGUCGCCUUCUCUUCCUCUCGCGUGUCACAAUCAGCUUUAGCAUUGUUCUCUUUCCAUUUUCACACACCUAGGGUUUCAGUUGUGAGCAUCUCUCUCUCUUUACCAACCACUACUCCCUUGCUUCUUCCAUAUGGCUCCUAGGCGAGAGUCCGCUACUUCUAGGGCACAAGGCAAGCACCCAACUGAGUCGUCUCAGUCAAAGGCACGUCGAAAAGUGAGAUUUGACAUUGCCUUGUUCAGUUCCAUGGAGGACUACCAACUAUACAAGCAACACUUUGCUUAGAGACGAGUAGUUCCCAAGAGAAAUAUUAAUUUUCCUCAACUUCAGCAUUUCGAAUUUAAGGGUCUAUUUACUAGGAUGGUUGGUUGUCUAUUGUCACAAUUUCGGAGCCGGUUUUCCUGACCUUAGUGCGAGUUUUUUACUCGAGGGCGACUUAUGGCAUGGGUGGCAUGAUCAUUUCUACUGUUGGAGGAGUUGAGAUCUGUCUGGACCCAGAGAGCAUCUGCCAUAUUUUCGAUAUUGCUCUGGUUGGACUCAAAGUAUACAAGUCCAAAAUGUGGCCCAUUGUGCCAGGAUUUGAGCUUAGAGAGGUCAUUCAGAGGAUUUGUGAACUUCCAGACGCCCAGGAGAUGGGCAAACCAUUGCCACACAGUUUGACGGUCAUCAACAGGGUGCUACACCAUAUAUUGUGCUCUAUCUUUCUACCACGAAGUGGACAUUGAGAUGAGGUCUCUUAUUAUGAGGCAUUCCUUAUUGACUCCAUUCUAACGGAGAGACGAAUUCAUCUACUAUGUCAUCAUUCACUAAGCCUCCUCACAGUGACAUACCACCUCAUCAGGCACCUCUUGCUCCUGACCAUGCUCCAUUGAUGGAUUUAUUUACUCAUAUUAGCUCUCUAGGCACUCGCAUGAAGGAGUUUGUUGUAGUUAGUGAUACAUGGUUCUACUCCAUAGAGGAUCGCAUGGAUCAGUAUCAGACUGGCUUCACGUCACAGUUUGAGUAUCUCCAAUAGAGGAUUGAGCAUAUUGAGGAUCACUUGAGCAUGAGAAGAUGAUGGCUUUUCUAUGCUCUGUGUUUCCACCUCCACCUCGUCAACCUUGAUUUCUUAGAGACCCAUUGUUUUCAUUUUGUAAUGUUGCCAAAAGGGGGAGAUAUUUAGGAUCUAGGACUCUAUAGGAGACUUACAUGCAUAUCAUUUUCAUAUCAUUGUUUGGAUCGUACAUAUUGGAUAGUGAUACUUUUUACUUAUAUAUGAUAUGCCUAUAUGUUUCAUGUCUUACAUUGUUUCUUAUUGCAAAUUAUCUCUAACAUGUCUUGAUUAUCUUUUUUUUAACUUCAUAAAUUUUGAUUGUUAACCCAUGAUUGGUUUGAGGGGAAGAUUCUUCUUCUCCUAGAUAACCAAGGUUUGUCAUCAUAAAAAAAUUGGAGAUUGUUAGCCCAAGGGUUCUCCUAAUCAUGUUUUGAUGAUAACAAACCAUGCUUAAGUUACUAAUUGGUUUGAAUUAUAAAGAAUUUCAAGUGUUAAUUUGAAAAUUCAUCAAAGAACCUAAUGGAUGCAAGAUCAAGAUUUUUGGAAGACCUUUAAUCAUAAGAAACAUAUGUAAGAUGAAUGCAUGGGUGCACUUAAGAUUUGCAUAUCAUUUCAUGCAUAUUUGGAAAACACGGUUUAUGCUUUAAAGUUACAUUUCCAUCAAAAUUUGAGAUCCAUCAAAUGAACCUUAGGAAAAAUGUUUUAAAAUUGGCAUAUAAUUUUACCUAAAGACCUUGCCUAAGUGUUAGAAGCAAAAGGACAAAAAAAAUAUAGGUUUUCUGGUCAAAAAUGGUGAACCAGUCAAGGCAUUGUCUAAAUCAGCUCAAUCGGCCAAGGUACCGGUCGAUCGGUUUCCCUUUCCCUGUCGAGAUCUAGUCAAGAGGUACAAAAAUCACAAUCUCUGUCUCUUUCUCUCUUUGUCUAUCUUCCAGUAGUCUUUCCUUCCCGGUCGAGGGAUUUGCCUUCCCGAUUGAGGUCCGAUUGAGAGUAAUAGUCACUUGCCAAAUAUUAAAUGCUCCAACAGUUAGUGAACUGGUCGACCCCCACCUUGCCCAGUUGAGGUUACUUUUUGGUUUUCUUGGCUCCCGAUGUUAGAAACCUAUAAAUAGAGAGUUCCACUUCAUUUAUGAGCAAGAGAACACUUGCAUUUAUUUGUUUACCUACUUGUUCUUGCCUUAAAAGCUCUCAUUUCUUUUCUUGGUGCAUUAAAUCUCCAUUUUGAUAUCCUUUAGUGCACCUUUGUGAUUCAUCUUAGCCUUGAGUUGUAUUUGAGCCCUUUUUUUAGCUAGGUUGAGAGUUUCAUACUUGUUAAUUGAGUGUUAAAGCCUUCAAGUGAGUUGAAACUUGUAGAGAUUAUGUGAGAGUCGAUUGGAGCCGAAAUCCAAGUGUAAAGGUGAUUAGAAGCUUGGUUGAAGCUUCAAGUUAGUGGAAUCCUCACUCAAUUAGGAGCUUGAGGAGAGUGGACGUAGCCAAGGAAGUGUCGAACCACUAUAAAAUUUGAGUUUGAUUUCUCUAACAUUGUCUCUUUAUAUUUGUUUAUCUUGUGCUUAAAUUUAUUGUGUUUAAAAAGAAUUUUUAAAUACCCAAUUCACCCCCCUCUUGGGUGUUUUUCUCUUUUAAAAUUAGCCUUUAUUUUCUCACAAACUAUUGUAGUAUAGUGGUUUUUAGGUGUCAUCCAUUAGGAUGAAUUGUUCUCGGUAAUUAAGGCGUGAAUGAGAGGAGAAUUAAUGAUUGUGAUUAAGUAAAAUUGAUUUGAAAAUUCAUGGUGAAAAAUCAAUUUAACAAUGGUUUCUAAUUGAGAAAAACAAUGAAAUGUGAAAUAAAAUAAAAUUAAUAGGAAAUGAAAUUCUCGAAGUUAGAAUUUUCUAAAAAACAAAUUCCAUGGUGAAUGGAUGUUGAGAUCUAAUUUUCAUCAAGUUAGAUUGAAAACCGAAAUUUUCAUAUAAACUGAUUUUUUAUUUAGUUUUAGGUCUAGAUUUAAUUUCCCUUAAAAUUAGGUUAUUUAAUCCAAGAAAUCAAUUCAAAUCAUAUAUUCAAUUCAUCUUAAAUUAUCUUCCAAUUAUUCACACAAUGCAACUAUUCAAUCUCAUCAAAUCUAGCUUUUAAGAAUUUAAUGAAUCUACCUAGUUUGCAUUGUAAUAGUCAUCCAUGACAAUUUGAAGAGAAAAAUAAUUCAAUUAAUCAAUCACUUGGAUCAAAUUACCUUUGCAAUUAAAGUUCAUUUCUCUAAUUCACCACAGAUUUUGUCUCUAGAUCCUCCUUUCUCAAAGAAAAAUGAGAUUUAGCCACACAUGAUUGGAGAUUUGGUCUCAUAAGGCAUGUUUAGCUAGUGAUAAAAUGAGAGAAAAUAAAGAAAAAUAGAGAAUUCGAUUAAGAAAGAAAAUCUAAAAAAUUCUACAAUUAGAAAUGUCCAAAAAGCUUUUUCAUGAGAAAAUCAAGUUUCUAUUUAUAGGCCAAGGUCAAGUGGACACUUGACAUCAUCUAAGAGGUCUUCCGGAAGCUUCUUCAUCAAGAAAUCUGGAGUUUAAUAAUAAAAUGGUCAUUUCACAAGAGCUCAAACAAUUUCGCAUGAUUAUGUGAAAUAAAAAAUGCAACAACAGCAAUUUACAUCUUCUUGGAGCAUUUCGCAUGACUGUGUGAAAUUUUCACAUGAUCAUGUGGAAUCGACUUGACAACUCUCAUUUAGCCUACAACAUAAUUCCACCUUUUGGUCCAUUUUUCAUAGUCAUGCGAAAUGGAAAUAUUUGAUUUUUAAGUUUUCUUUUGUCAUUUCUUUCAUUUCCUUCUCUUGAUUCCACUUCAACUACCUCCGAAUCCUGGUCCAAACCAAUUGCAUUACUUCUUUCAUUAUGCAUUUGGAUCAUCAUCAACAUUAUUUGUUCUCUUCAAUUUGAUUCAUCUCUUUUGUCACCAAUUUAUCAAAAUCAUACCUUGAAAUGACUCCAAAACUUCAUAAAACUUGUUAGUAACUCUUGCAAGGGCAACAACAUAUUAAUUAAGUGUUUUAGGCAUAGUUACUACUCAAAAGAUGCGAAACUCAUGAUAAUUAUUAUAUAAAAUAUGCUCUUUUUGAGUAGUAAUCAACUUUCUUGCAUAAGCAGACCUUUUAGGGUGGAGUACUAAAGACCAAUAUGCUUGUCCUUGUUGUAAUAAAGAAACUUGCUCUUAUUGAUUGCACCAUGGGAGAAAAUUUUGCUACAUGAGUUAUCAUCAAUUUCUUCCCACCAAUCAUAGAUUUAGACGUGACAAGAGGCCUCUUAAUGGCAAGGAGGAACUGACACUCACACUUAUACAAUUAUCGGGCAUUGAUGUGUUGCAACAAUUAGAAUAACUUACACCAAUUAUGUUGGGGAAGUCACAAAAGGCAAACAUGAAAACUAAAAGGAAAAAAGAAAAAUGUUACAUAUCACCACAACUGGAAAGAAAAAAGUAUUUACUUUCAUUUGCCAUAUUGGAAAGCACUUAUUUUACAUCAUAAUAAUUUAGACAUAAUGCAUAUUGAGAAAAAUGUGUGACAAUAUAAUUGAGACAUUGUUCAGUAUUGACGAAGAAACAAGGACAACCUAAAUAGUCAUCUCGAUUUACAAGCUCUAACUAUUAGAAAUGAGAUUCACCCAAUAGAAAGCAGGACCAAAUUUAUUUUGCUUGCAACAUGCUACUCACUCACCCCAAAUGAGAUUAAGGAAUUUUGCAAGUUUUUGAAAUCAAUAAAGGUCCCCAAUGGCUAUUCUUUCAAUAUCUCUCGUUAUGUGCAACUCAAUGAAAGGAAGAUAUAUGAGCUCAAAUUGUAUGAUUGUCAUGUCCUAAUGCAACAACUUCUCUCACUUGUAGUUCGUGGAGUUCUACAUAAGAAUGUUUGUGGAGUUAUCAUAGAAUUGCGUAAUUUUUUCAAGCAAUUGUGCUCAAAGGUGUUAGAAACAAAUCACUUACACCAACUUGAGAACAAUAUUAUUGUCAUACUAUGUAAAAUGGAGCAAAUAUUUCUUCCAUCAUUCUUUGAUAUUAUGGUGCAUUUACUUGUGCAUCUAGUAAGGCAAAGGUUGCAAGACUUGUGCAAUAUUGUUGGAUGUACCUAAUUGAACGAUAUUGUUAUAAUUUCAUAUGAAUCAUUUAAUUUUAUUUUAUAUUAUGUUCAGUUCAUUAACAUGUACAUUGGUCUACAUAUGGAUGAUGAUAGGUACCUAAGCACUUUAAAGUCAUAUGUGCGUAAUAGAACUUUUCUAGAAGGUUCUAUUGUAGAAAGGUACCUUGCAAAAGAAUGUACAACAUUUUAUUCUAGGUACUUGAAUGAUGUGGAAAUAAAGUAUAAUCACAAUGAUAGAAACUUUGUUGGUUUCAACACUAGAGGAGAUGAAAGGGGUUAUCUUUAAACAUAUUGGACAUGCAUUGGGAAAGCCCAUAUUUCAUUAACUUAGUUCAAAAGAGUGGUCACAAGCACAUUUAUAUGUGUUGACAAAUUGCGAAGAUGUCAUACCAUUCAUUGAGUAAAAAAUUUAUUUGAAUUUUAAUUAAAGCUCUAGUUUAUAUCCUUAAUCAAUGUUUUUUAAAUUCACAAGGAGCACAAGCAAACCAUCAAGGCUAGACCACAUAUACGUGUUUGAGACGUAGAUUUAAUUCAUAACAAGGAAUUUAUCAAGUGGUUUGAAAGACAUGUAAGUAUAUUCCUUAUUAUAAGGGAUUUAUUUCACAUUAUGUUUAUAUUGAAUCCAAACCUAUUAUUGAAUUGUAGGUUGAACAAUUACAUAAUGAAGGUCAUAUAUCUGAACACCUUCUCACAUUAUCAUGUGUUCCAAAUUCAUUAGUUACAUGCUUCAAAUGAUAUAUUGUCAAUGGAUUUAGAUCCCACAUUAAAGAACGUGAUAAAAAAGUUUUUAAAAAAAGACUCAGAAUAAUGGAAUUGUUGUAGUUGCAAAAACGUCAAGCUUUACAAGUGCAUGUGAUAUGAGUCCAAUUAUUAGUGAUGCUCUCUACUAUGGUGUUCUAACUAAAGUUGUUGAGUUACAUUAUCUUGGUGAAAAUAAGGUUGUUUUAUUCGAGUUUGAUUGGUGGGAUGUUACAAAUAUUGGAAAAUUGAUAAAAGAUGAUGAGUACAAUUACACAUUUGUUAACUUUGCAUGAAUUCUAACCACGAACGAACGAUUUGUACUUGCAUCUCCAGCAAAGUAAGUGUUCUAUGUGAAGAAUGCGAAUGAAUCAGAUUGGCAUACUAUCAUGGAGAUGCAACCUCAAGACCUCUAUAAGAUGAACGGGAUAGGAUCCAAUGGUGAUUUUGAACCAUUUCAACAAAGUGAACUACAUGAUCACUAAUAUAUCUCAGAUUUAGUUGAUGAAGAUAUAAUCAAGUGGAACAAAAGUGAUGUUUUAGGACUAAUCAUCCUAAAAAAUAUUGUAGUUUCUUAAAAAAAAAAUGAAAAUGAAGAAGAUAAUUGAACCUUUGUCAUACUUUAAAAAGCAACUAUGCAUUGUUCAUUUUGUAUGUUUUGGUUUUCUUCAUUUAAUUUCCUGAUUUUUGUGAUUCAAUGUCAUAUUAUUGAUCUUGAAAUAUUUUUCUAAUUUUUCAUUCUACGAUGGUUUCAACAAGGAUGACAUCAAGUCAAAAAAGGAAAUGUGGUCCCACACACAAUAUUGCAUUACAGGGAUUAAGGUCAGGGAAGAAGGUAAAAGUUGCAUUUAAUGAGUACAAUCAAUUGGUUAAACAGAAAAAUGGAAAACACUUAUCGAGCUACAUAGGGACACUUGUAUCUAACCAACACAAUGUACCUCUCCAAGCUAGUGAUUGGAAAAAUGUUCCAAAUGAUGCAAAAGAGAAAGUAUGGCCUUUGUUUUGGUAUGUUGUAUUUCUCACUAUAUGAUGUCAUUUCACUGUUAUUCUAUUUUGUGACUAACGUUUGAAUCAUAUGUAAGAAAAAUUUGAAGUAGAUAAAGACUGAAAAGAUUACAUGUUGGGUAUAGCCUCAAAUAAAUAUAGAAGCUAUAAAAAUAUGAUGAAUGCAAAAUACUAUGACCCUUGGCAUAAGGAUGCAUGAGGAGAGGUUAAUACAUAAAUCACCAUUUGUCUCUGAUGUUGAUUGGAAGUGGCUUGUCUCUGAUGCAUAAACCAAAUCCCCCACUGAAUGUUUGAUAUUUGAUAGCAGGAAAAACACACCCGCAGCUAUACACCUCCAUCAUUCAGAUAAUUAUAGUGGGGGAGAUGAUUCAUGGUUGCCCUUAUACCCUUUAUUUGCACCAUCUAUUGAGAUUCUUUAUCAUGGCCAGGUUUUACUGCAGCAAUAAGAUAUGGUGGCAACAAUUUUAUCUAUAGGUGCGGUUCCAGACCGCCUCCAUAGGUGCGGUUCCUGACUGCCUCCAUAGGUGCCUCUUCUUGUAAUGUUUGUUCUGGGAAUUACACUUGAAAGCCUUAUCGUGAUAAGGGAUUACAAACACUAGUUCAGAGGACAGCCAUGUUAAACUUCCACUAUGUUUGUGUCACAUUAUCAGCAGCCUAGUGUUUAUUGGUCAUGCUAUCUGCAACUAAUAUAACCCGGUGAACUUCAAUCUAAAUUCUGAAAGUACUCAUGUGACAGAUGGUGCCUUUCAGCAGAUAUCAUCAAUUUAAAAGUAGUGUGUGUGCCUAUAGGUGGGAAGGCCUUGGCAAAUGUUCAGUAUUCCGGUAAUUCAAGAAGGAUAUAUCUAAAAUAGAUUUUCUUCUUGCCCAUUUCAAUAGUUAAAAUUUGAGAAGAUUGUGUCCACAUCACACAAAUAUUAUUGGUCCUUCUGUUGCAAUUUACCUCUGAACAUGUCUUCCAAUUCCCACGGUCCUGUUACUCCAGGAAAACUAUUUCGGUCAUAUUGAAAAAAAAAAUAUUAAAGAAGGUACACAUGCUUUUAAGUGGACUGGGGCAUUCAUAUCAGGUGGUCUGUAUCCACAUAUGCCACUUCGUGAAAGGUGGAACAGCCUAAUCACUAGGCUAUUUAGUGUGGCCCAGCCACGUUAAUCAAGCACAAGUCUUCAUACUUAAAGUCAAAUGGUGUCUUUAGUCUCAUUACACAUCGCUAUUUGAAGAUUAACUCAUCACUAGUGUAAUGCGAUUAAGACAGUCCUAACUCAAUAUUUGUUCUAGUUUUGGAUGCAAAUGCUUGCUGGUUUCAUCAUUGGAUGGGAUAAAGGUGCAAUCAGGACUAUGAAUACGUGCAGUAAUACUUCAUUCUCUUUUUUCUCAAUGAGACUUCUUGGCACAAUUUUGCUGCUCAGCAACCUACCUUUCCAUGGAAAAUCAGUUGUGACUGAUAGUAAUGGAUAUAUUCUAGAAAGCUAAACAUAGAUAGCAUUCAAUAUUAUCGAUAUAACAUUAACAGCGUAUGUCUCAAUGCUCAUCAGCUACAAGCAAUGGACAAACACUUUGAGUAACUCACAGCAGUCAAAAUUCCUAAACAGGACAGACGUGACAGAUCUAUAUAUAGAACACUGCAUAUGAGUCACAGGAAAAGAUAAUACGGGUACAUAGAAGCUCUUAUUUUACAUAUUACUCAUACUGAUCAAAGUCGCUCAGUUGGGAUGGAUGGGAGAAGGAGGUUUGAGGGGUGGCUUGUGCGGGGAAGUUGGCAGCUUCUUUCCGGGAGCUGGUUGCUUCUUUGCUGGAGUUGAAGGAGGCUUAAUCUUCCGAGGUGGCUUGUAUGAGUCUUCAGCAUUCUCAGCAGGAGGGUGACCAGGGUUGUGACCAUAAUGUGGUGGCUUCUCUCCCUUAGGUGGUUUGCCAACUGGGGUUGGUGGCUUGUUUUCUGGGAGUGGCUUCUCUCCCUUGGGUGGUUUGCCAACUGGGGUUGGUGGCUUGUGUUCUGGGAGUGGCUUCUCCCCCUUGGGAGGUUUUUCGAAUGGGGUGGGUUUGUGUCCUGGUGGUGGCUUCUCUCCCUUGGGAGGUUUACCAAUUGGGGUCGGUGGCUUGUGUUCUGGGAGGGGCUUCUCUCCCUGGGGAGGUUUAGUGGGUGGCUUGUGUUCUGGAGGUGGCUUCUCCACCGGAGGCUUAUGCUCUGGUGGUGGCUUCUCGAAGGGGGGAUGCUCAGGGUAAUCACCAAGUGAGGGGGUGGUGAGAACCACCAUGCCAAGCAACAACACUAGCAAGUAUGUAGUAGACAUCUUUGGGUUUGGACUCAGACAGUGCAAAACUACGAGAAAUCGCUAGCCCUUUAUAGCGGCUCGGACCUAAUACUGACAUAAUAUAAAAUAAAUAUUAUAUUUUAUCAAGAGAGAACAGAGUGUAAUUUUAUCAUUAAUACCGAUCGAGGCCAAAGAAAGAAGACCCAUAAUCCAUUUCCCACAAGCAUACACAAUGCAGCUGUAAUUUUAUCAUUUACUUUUAUCCCUUGGACCACUGCAUUUUUGUUGAGAGACACAAUAACACAUUUUUAUCUGUCAUUCAACAUUUACAGUAAAGAGAGGGCACAAAACGCAAUUAGAUAAAUUAUGUUUUGCCUGCUAAAAAGAGGCAAAUAACUUUAUUUGCAACAUAAUUAUUUUGGUUUCUAGUGACCCCGGGGCCUUUCGGUUGGUUUGGGAUCGGAAAAUGAACAUCAUAGGGGGGGUUGUGCCCUUAUGGGCAUAUAUAUCUGAUAGCUUCAACUGGCCUUGUUCCUAGAAAGAAAUUGCCAAAGAUAUAAACUUAUUCCAGGCUGAAAGUAGAUGAGAGUCAUAAUGAACAUCAACCUUUGUUCAGUUUGAUUCAAUGCCCCCAUAGUGUUCAUUUCACAGAUCUGAAUGAUUAUAUCCGUUGAAUACAUAAAUUAAUGAAGACAAAUAUGAAACCCAAGAUACAUCUCUGCAUAACAACCCCAACCCUGGUUGCUAUGUUUCCCUUCUUCUAUUCACAUGAGGAUACUGGUUAUAAUUGUCAAACUUGCAACAAGCCCUUUGACACCUAACGUCAAUGGACGAAUUAAAAGUCUCCUUCAAACGUCUAUUUCACAGCAUGAAGCUUAUAAAGGAUGCUGACAACCUUCAGAGUUAGCGACAAAAGAUAAUUAUCAAGGAGAGAUAGUUCCAUGAGAAUUCCAAGGAGUCUGAAUCAAAGACAAAUUGCUCACUCAAGGGUUCUUAUUUUCUUUUAGGUACAAAUCUCUUGAGUGUUGUUAAAGAAACACGUCACUGUCAUUUUGAUUUGCAUUUAACAUUUCACUUUUGUUCUGGAAGGUUUGUUCCGGAAACAUAUCAAAUGAGCAUCAUUUUCUUCUUCGGUGACACAUGGUCGCGAGUACGUGGGUCCAUUUUCAUGCCACUUAGUUGAAAAGUUGGAAAGAAAAAACAUGCCAACAAGAAGAUAGUGAGAGAAGGGGCACUUCAAGCCUUUAACAUGAACAAACAGUAAAUAAAAGAUGUUUCUCCACUCAUAAAAGUGUGUUAGAUAGCAAUAUAACGAAUCACAUCCAAAAUCUUUACUAGGCUCAAACAUAAAGAAGACUCAUUUUUAAGAAAAGAUAAAAAUGGCAUUGUCUGAUAGUAUCCAAUACACGAGAUGGCACUUAAUUUGUACAAGAUCUGUCAAUGCUGACGCACAUUUUCUGAUUAAAAAAAAACUGAUCAGUCAAAAGCAAUGAAGAGAAGUGAUGACAAUGAAUGAUGCUUCCAAUAUUUUCACCCCUUAUAGUGUUCUUCAUGAUUCAGAUAUAUAAUUGGAAAUAGAACAACCCUAUGCCAUACAUUCGUCUAAGUAUGGUGUCUAAUUUUUUGUGUCAGCGGUUGCGAAUGGAGCGUGCAAAAGUCCAAAUUGGCGUCUCUCCAUUUCCACAUAGGAAGGUGACCUUUAUUGACAAAUACCCAAUAUUUGUAGACAUUCCUUAAAUAUCAUAACUUCUUGUUGAUUUGAAAAUCAUUUUUCAACUACCAUGUUUUAAUAAAUAUUUUUUAAAAUGUAUUUUUAUCAAAGUCCACCAUGAUGGAUAAUAUUCACCAUGCAAUAAUUAAUAAAGUACAAACUAAGCGAAAUGAAAAGCAUUUUCUUUGCUUUGAGUUGAUUUUGGUUGCAUUGAGUUGAUUUUGGUUUCAUGGUUUUUUCAACUCUUAUUUUGAUUGGAAGAUGUCAAGAAAAGAAAACAUAAAGAAAAAUUAAAAGGGAAAAAAGAAGAAAAAUAAAAAAAAAUAGAUUUAAAAGUUAAUAAAUUAUUUUUUAUAUUUAUUUUAAUUCAUUUCACUUAUUUUUCUUUUACUAUAUAAAAUUUAAAUAAUUUAAAUUUUAUAAUUAAUUUAAUUACAUUUCAUUUUCUUCUAUAUUUAAAUAUUGGAAAAAUAUUUUACUUAAUAUUUUUUUCUUUAAUUUCUUUGGCAUUUUGGGAACCAAACUUAGCCUUUAAAAUAAAAAACAAAAAAAAAAUGAAAAUAAGGAGGGAAAAGUGAGAAAAGAUAAAAACAAUAUGUAAAGGAUUUGAAAAGUAUUAGUUUGUAAUUACUAUUUGGAUUUCAAUAGUAUUUUAUUUGUCUUUCUAUAUUUCAUGUAAGAGAGAAUUUAAGAUAUUCCCCAAGGCAAAGCAUUAGUUACCUGCAAUCAGUGGUGAUAAGGCUCCAAGCCAAUUUUGGGCCCCAUAUCUUAAGACAGUACAAUUUCCAUUUCAACAUUUCUGAUUUCUCAGAUGUUUCACAUACCACAGAAGAACAUUGUUUGUGAAAAUAUGCAUUUAUGUUGGAUUUUGUAUGCUGUGGGGACUGGGGCAAGGAUCAUAUGGAAGAGUGGUUGACUUUUUCUGUACUUUAACGGUUGAAAUAGGAUAAGCACGGGCAUUUGUGAGGCUUAAUUGAUUUUGAAGCCUGAAAUUGCGUUUCUGUCAUUUUGUCAAAAAAAUGGCAGAUUCCAUACUCAUAUGUUUGGCCUGUGGCCAUGUACAGAUGCCAUUUAGUGACCAGUUUGUAACUGUCAAUCGUUGCGUUUUGACUCUGCCUCAACAACAUCUGCCAUUGACGGGUUUUCAUACUUGCAAAUCAAAUAGUCUUUCGUCCCAUCAGGAAUUUCGGUUUAAAUAUUAUUAAGCAUACGUUUGGCUGACAAUCAUUAUCCAGUUCAUGAUUUGGUUUCUUACCCUUAAUCAAUGGUUUCUAAGUGAAUAUAUGUAGAAGGAAAUCCGAAGUGUAGACAGUAGUAUCGAUAACUCUCAAUAUUCUCUAUAUAAUAGAAUAAACAGCGUCAUAGUGAUCGUCGCCUACAAGCAAGGUACAAAUACCAAAACGAGUGACUCACAUAGACAUCUCCCAACAAGAUGUAGUAGUGACUGACACAUGGACACAAUUAACUCGUAGAAAAGGAUAAGACCAUUGCACAGCAGCUCUUAUUUUACAUACUACUUAUGCUAACCAAAGUCAAUUAGUUGGGAUGGGUGGGAGAUGGAGGUUUGUGCGGUGGCUUGUGGGGCGGAGUUGAUGGCUUCUUUCCAGGAGCUUCUGGCUUUUUCAUCGGAGCUGAAGGAGGCUCAAUCUUAUGAGGCGGCUUGUAUGAGUCUUCUUUACUCUCGACAGGAGGGUGGCCAGGGUUGUGAUCAUAAUGUGGUGGCUUCUCUCCCUUAGGUGGCUUGCCAACUGGGGUUGGUGGCUUGUGUUCAGGAAGUGGUUUCUCUCCCAUGGGAGGUUUAGCAAUUGGGGUUGGUGGCUUGUGUUCUGGGAGUGGCUUCUCUCCCUUGGGAGGUUUAGUAGGUGACUUGUGUUCUGGAGGUGGCUUCUCCACCGGAGGCUUGUGCUCCGGUGGUGGCUUCUUGGUUGGAGGGGGCUUGGGGUAAUCAGCAAGAGAUGGGGUGGUGAGAACCACCAGUCCAAGGAACAACACUAGCAAGUAUGUGGGAGACAUUUUUGAGUUUGGGCUGAUCAGAUGAUGCAAAACUAAAGCAUUACGUGACCUUUUAUAGCAUGUAGCUCCCAAUACCCACUAAGUAUUGUGGGGUCCAUUUGUGCCCUACGGGGUUGAAAACUUAGACAAUUGGGCAAGGACCCACCUGACUAUGGAGGACUAGUGAGGUGUGAUCAUAGCUUUAGGAUUUUUCUUCCUCUGCAGCCGUCGUGCCGUUGGCAUGAUUUUCUUAAUCUUAAAUAAAGGCAUAGUUAUAGAGUUGUUUAAUCUCUAAAUGGGAUUUUAUAUAUAUCUUCAGAUAGCCAUUAAUAUAUUUGAUGAAGAAAGAAAGACAAGUGCAUACAACAUGUAUACGACUAGCUUUCAUGGAGUUCAUUUAUGAUCAGUUUUCCUGUACAUGUAAACCAGGAUCAUAUAUAUGUUUCUGUUCCACAACUAUUUUGGAAUCUUGUUUAUCAGUUUUUAUCAUUAUAAUGUCACAUAGGCUGCCAACUUGGGCGCUAAAAGAACCAGUUGGGCUAGUUCGUUUCAGAAUUUCAAUGUGGAUUCAGGAAUUGUUUUGUAAGAUAUGCGAAAUAGUAGAGGGAUGAAUAGUGUUUCAUUAAUAAAAGUGUCCUGUAAAUUAGAAGGUGUCAUAGAAACUAUAAUCAAUAAAUAACUUUUUUUCCCCACGGGUGGUGUUUCUUGUGGGGAUCAGUGACUGGUUUAGGUUCACCCAAAAUGAGUUCAGACUAAAAUUGGUUUGAGUCAAUGCCGUGUCUCUUUUUUCCAGAAAUCAACUAUUUUAUGCAUUGAAUAAAUCAUACAAAGAAAAUAUGAACGCCCGCAAAACCUAAACCCUGGUUGCUAACUUUCUAUGUUUCAGUUCUAUUCACGCAAGAAUAUUAGUUUAAGUUUGGGAAAAAUGGCAACUUACCUAGUGAUUACUUGGUUUUGGUUUGCGACUAUUUACGCAACCAACCAUGAGUUUGACUUUAACGUCAUGGGUUGAAGCCUCCUACAGGAAGGGAGAAAGCUCCACAGCUAGCUCCAAAAGAGAAUUAUCACAUUGAUAGCUCCAGAGAUUCCCAAGGGGACUGAAUCAAAGACAAGUUCCUCACUUUUUCUUCUUUUGAGGCCAAAUAUGAACCAAGGAUCACACAACCUCAUUCAACUUCAUAAGUUUGAUUUCAUGCAGUUGAACACUGGGUGAAGGCCAUGACAAGAAUUGAUUCAAAAAUUCUAUCACUCUUUUAAGUAAUGGAAGAUUAUUAUCUCUGAUUGGCAUCACAACAGCACAUGCUCCUAGAUCUUUCUAGACACUCCAUGCAAUGAAAGCACAAUGGAUCUUGUAACGAUAGAAACUAAGCCAUGCUACAGUACUAGAUGAUGAGGUAAAACUAGUAGACACGGGUGGCAGCCUAUAUGGGAGGGACACAAGUCUAAUUGAUUUGCAUUUCAGCAUUAUAGAUAGGUAUGUUUUGGAAGAUUUGUUCUGGAAAUACCGCACCAAGUAGGAUUCUUUUUCUCUUUAGUGGGUCCACUUGCAUGCCAAUUAACGAGUUGAAAAGUAUGAGCACCUACCUCGUGCUCGUGGAACCGAAGGUCAGUGAAGUGGGGCUCCUUUUGGCCUCGUGUAAACUUGAUUCAGAAGUGAAGUUAAUAGUCUUCCAUUCAGAUGGAUACAUGGGAAUUUUUCUCUUUUAUUUAUUUAUUUAUUUUUUUUUUGUGUGUGUAUGUCAAAGGAUAAUGAAUGAAGCGCGUUAGCUUGUUUUCUGACUGGAACCGCAGAUGUCCAAAUUGGAGUUCCUUCAUUUCUUACUUAGGAUUGUUACAUGUAUAAACAAGGUAUAAGAAAUAUGCCAACGUGUCUUGAGGAGUUAUUGAUUAGAAAUAACAAGUCACCCGACUGUAGAGUUCCAAGAUUUGAAUCUUCAGACCCUAUAGCAGCCUCUGGGGUACGUGGCAUCCUAUAGCAUAUUAAUGAAGGCUUUUUCGAUUUAGACUUCACAAUACCAAUUAAUAUGUAUGCACAAAAUGGAGAUGACCCCAAAAAAAACAGAAUCGCCAUAGUUUAUGAGGUUAAGGUGAUUCUCCACUUAAUAUCUACAUUAGCUAAUUAUGUAAAUCAAAUGAACUUCUAUUUUUCCUUUUUUUUUUUGGUUUAUGUCAAAUAGUAGCCCAUAAUUAACCCAACCAUUAGCCUGUUUGAAUUGAUUUCACAUGCACAAUGUUGUAGUAGUUCAUAUUUUGAAUUUUAUUUUUACAAAGGUAGUUAAGGAAAAUGAAGUAUAAUAAUUAUAAAAGCAGACUAUAUACACUACAAUAAUUGUUAGAAUGGUAUCUCAAAUUCUAAUUUAAAAUAUUAUUUUUUGUAAAAGAAAUAUUAUAUAGAAUAUUUCCUAAUUUUAUAAAUGAUUAUAAUUAGAUCUUUAUAAAAUAAGGAAAGUUGGUAAGAAUAUCUUUAUAAAUAUUUUAGGUCAUGAGAGAAAGAAAUGGGAUAAAAAUGUGAUGAAGAGGUGAAAUAAGAGAGUUGAUUAGGAUAUAGAUGUGAAGAAGAAAGGGAUUCAAUAUAUAUAUAUCUUUCAAUUACCACAUUAAAACCCUGUGAACCUUUUAUAUGGUUUACUUUAUUUUUAUAUUCCUCCUUUAAUAUAUUUACAUUAAUGCUUCCAUUGGCACAACAAUAACGAAUUACAAAUACAAGCAACAAGUCCCAUGUUUUAUUACCAAAAGCAGGUAAAAUCCACCUAAUAUAUUACAAUAUAUUCAUCCAAUAUUUUAGACCAAUUCUUCACCAUAAAUAUCAUAAUGUGGCUUUUGUUCUUUCUUAAAUUUAAAUUGAAUUGUCUUAUAUCAAUUUGUUUGUGAUUUUUUCAUUAACUUCACUUUCAUUUGGUUAUCUUUGGUUUUUGAAAAGUAUUAAGGAAUUAAUUAACAAAAUAAUGUUAAGAAAAAUAAUUUUCUCUCUUUUGAUUUUGAUUUUGUAGUAGAAAAAUAUAAUUAAAAUUAUUUAAAAAGUAUGUAAUUUUAAAUUAUUUAAUAUUUAGAUAAAAAAAAUAAGUCUAAUGAGUUUAAAAUAACAUAUAAAAAUAAUUUAUUUAUUUUAAAUUUAUUUUUUAUUUUCCAUUAUGUUCUCUUUCUCUUUUACUUUUUCAUAUUUUUUCUUACGAAGAAUCAAACACAACCUCAUAUUAUAUGUCAAGUGUUUGUCUAUAUUUGAGCAAUGUUAGAUACGGCCAUGGAUUCAUCAAACUAAACUGAUUUUAAUAGAUACUUCACAAAUUGAUUUAUACACUAAAUCAUUGGAUAGCAAUGAUGCAUUGGAAUUAAACGUAGGAUGAAGCUCGAAGAACACUGUUUGUGUAACAACAUAUUUAUGAAAUUAUGCAAAGGAUGAGCUUCGGGGUAGUAGUACAAGGUCAUUAAUGGAGAGCCGUGUUAAACCUUGAUUGUGAUUGGAUUCCGUUAUCAGCAACAGCAACCUUGUUUGUAACCUUGAAAGUCAUUCUGUCCACAUCGAAACUCCAAUUUGACGUUUGUAAUUACCAUUCCUGGAGUGUUCCUUGAUUGAAAUUUAAAUAAUAAUUGCGGCCCACAAGGAAUAUUUUCGAUUCUGUGGGAAUUUGACAAGGUUUGUUAGAGAAGACUGGUGACAUGUUGACUUCAAUGGUUCAAAUAGGAGACGUAUGUGGAUUUGGGGGGUUUAAUUGAAACUGAGUCCCUAUGGCUUUUUAAUAUUUGCAUUGAGCAGUCUCCAUGUGACUUCCUAAUUCCCACCAACCCUCCUGUCCAUGCUGUGAAACUAAAUUGUAAUUUAUCAGCCUUUGUCAAUGGUUUCUAAAUUAAAGAUAUAGACCAUGCAUGUACUUUAAUAAAAGCAAAUCUAAAGUGUAGAUAGCAGCAAUGGUGACACCCAAUAUUCUCCAUAAAAUAGAAUUAGAAUAAGCAGUGUUACAUUGUUCAUGAUCACCUACAAGCAUACAAGAACUUCCAUGAAUAACUCAUAGCAAUUGCCAACAGGGCGUCGUAGAGACUCAUACAUAGAACACUAUCCACCCAGAGGAAAGGACAAGACCAGUGCGCUGCAGCUCUUAUUUUUCACAUGUAUACCACCACUCGUAAUAACCAAAUUCACUCAGUUGGGAUAGGUGGGAGAUGGUGGUUUGUGGGGUGGCUUGUGGGGAGGAGUUGGAGGAGGCUUUAUUUUCUGAGGCGGCUUGUAUGAGUGUGCAGGAGGAUGCCCGGGAGUGUGACCAUAAUGUGGUGGCUUCUCUCCCGUAGGUGGUUUGCCAAAUGGGCUUGGUGGCUUCUCUCCCUUAGGAGGUUUACCAAUUGGGGUUGGUGGCUUGUGUUCUGGGAGUGGUUUCUCUCCCUUGGUAGGUUUGCCAAUUGGGGUUGGCGGCUUAUGUUCUGGGAGUGGCUUCUCUCCCUUGGGAGGUUUGCUAAUUGGGGUUGGCGGCUUAUGUUCUGGGGGCGGCUUCUCUCCCUUGGGAGGUUUGCCAAUUGGAGUUGGCGGCUUAUGUUCUGGGAGUGGCUUUUCUCCCUUGGGAGGCUUGCCAAUUGGGGUUGGCGGCUUAUGUUCUGGGGGUGGCUUCUCUCCUUUAGGAGGUUUGCCAAUUGGAGUCGGCGGCUUAUGUUCUGGAAGUGGCUUUUUUCCCUUGGGAGGUUUGCCAAUUGGGGUUGGCGGCUUAUGUUCUGGGGGUGGCUUCUCUCCCUUGGGAGGUUUGCCAAUUGGAGUCGGCGGCUUAUGUUCUGGGAGUGGCUUCUCUCCCUUGGGAGGUUUUGUUGGUGGCUUGUGUUCUGGAGAUGGCUUCUCCCCUGGAGGCUUGUGCUCCGGAGGUGGCUUCUGAAAUGGCGGGGGCUUGGGGUAAUGAGCAAGAGAUGGAGUACUG